rnacentral:rRNA from 1 species
UGGGGAAUCUUCCGCAAUGGACGAAAGUCUGACGGAGCAACGCCGCGUGAGUGAUGACGGCCUUCGGGUUGUAAAGCUCUGUUAAUCGGGACGAAUGGUUCUUGUGCAAAUAGUGCGAGGAUUUGACGGUACCGGAAUAGAAAGCCACGGCUAACUACGUGCCAGCAGCCGCGGUAAUACGUAGGUGGCAAGCGUUGUCCGGAAUUAUUGGGCGUAAAGCGCGCGCAGGCGGAUUGGUCAGUCUGUCUUAAAAGUUCGGGGCUUAACCCCGUGAUGGGAUGGAAACUGCCAAUCUAGAGUAUCGGAGAGGAAAGUGGAAUUCCUAGUGUAGCGGUGAAAUGCGUAGAUAUUAGGAAGAACACCAGUGGCGAAGGCGACUUGCUGGACGAAAACUGACGCUGAGGCGCGAAAGCCAGGGGAGCGAACGGG